AAAACGACUCUCGGCAACGGAUAUCUCGGCUCUCGCAUCGAUGAAGAACGUAGCGAAAUGCGAUACUUGGUGUGAAUUGCAGAAUCCCGUGAACCAUCGAGUCUUUGAACGCAAGUUGCGCCCCAAGCCUUCUGGCCGAAGGCAUGUCUGCCUCGGUGUCACAA
rnacentral:rRNA from 1 species